GCCGCCUUAGCUCAGCGGUAGAGCACAGCUUUCGUAAAGCUGGGGUCCAGGGUUCAAAUCCCUGAGGCGGCU
rfam:Fimbriiglobus ruber strain SP5 contig05, whole genome shotgun sequence.